rnacentral:rRNA from 1 species
GAUGAACGCUAGCUACAGGCUUAACACAUGCAAGUUGCGGGGCAGCAUGGGGGUUGCUUGCAAUCCCCGAUGGCGACCGGCGCACGGGUGAGUAACGCGUAUCCAACCUGCCCUUCACCACGGGAUAACCCGGCGAAAGUCGGACUAAUACCGUAUGUUGUCCAUUGACGGCAUCCGAUUUGGACGAAAGGUUUGGCGGUGAAGGAUGGGGAUGCGUCCGAUUAGCUGGACGGCGGGGUGACGGCCCACCGUGGCGACGAUCGGUAGGGGUUCUGAGAGGAAGGUCCCCCACACUGGAACUGAGACACGGUCCAGACUCCUACGGGAGGCAGCAGUGAGGAAUAUUGGUCAAUGGGCGUAAGCCUGAACCAGCCAAGUAGCGUGCAGGAUGACGGCCCUAUGGGUUGUAAACUGCUUUUAUGCGGGGAUAAAGUGGCCCACGUGUGGGUUUUUGCAGGUACCGCAUGAAUAAGGACCGGCUAAUUCCGUG